CGUUGGAGAAGGCCGUGCUGGGGUAGCUGACAGGUUGUUGUCGGCACAGGAGGAUGGAUGGAGAUGAAGACAGGCUGACACCGUCCGAAGUUAGACAGUUGAGCCGCCUGUGGUGUCCGGCGGGCGCACAGAGACACGGAUAGCGGCCUCAGCAGACCUGUCAAGCACAAGGACAAGGACAACAUGUCAACACAGAUUAAAUGUACCUCACUCAUUUGACGGUUCCUUUGCUUGAUCUCUUCUAAGAUCUGGAUCUCCUUUGGAGUAUUGGCUGCACUUCGGCUUAGGUGGAGAUGGUACUUUGGGUUUAACAACAAAUGAGAACCCCUCAAGCUUAGUCGUCGUGCAAGGAGCUUUUUGUUGCCGCAUCCCUCCGGCUUCUUUCGCGGCAAGCUUCUCCAAAAGUGUCUCGAUCUGAGAACACUU